rnacentral:rRNA from 2 species
UCCUGACUGACCGAUAGUGAACCAGUACCGUGAGGGAAAGGCGAAAAGAACCCCGGCGAGGGGAGUGAAAAAGAACCUGAAACCGUGUACGUACAAGCAGUGGGAGCACGCUUAGGCGUGUGACUGCGUACCUUUUGUAUAAUGGGUCAGCGACUUAUAUUCUGUAGCAAGGUUAACCGAAUAGGGGAGCCGAAGGGAAACCGAGUCUUAACUGGGCGUUAAGUUGCAGGGUAUAGACCCGAAACCCGGUGAUCUAGCCAUGGGCAGGUUGAAGGUUGGGUAACACUAACUGGAGGACCGAACCGACUAAUGUUGAAAAAUUAGCGGAUGACUUGUGGCUGGGGGUGAAAGGCCAAUCAAACCGGGAGAUAGCUGGUUCUCCCCGAAAGCUAUUUAGGUAGCGCCUCGUGAAUUCAUCUCCGGGGGUAGAGCACUGUUUCGGCAAGGGGGUCAUCCCGACUUACCAACCCGAUGCAAACUGCGAAUACCGGAGAAUGUUAUCACGGGAGACACACGGCGGGUGCUAACGUCCGUCGUGAAGAGGGAAACAACCCAGACCGCCAGCUAAGGUCCCAAAGUCAUGGUUAAGUGGGAAACGAUGUGGGAAGGCCCAGACAGCCAGGAUGUUGGCUUAGAAGCAGCCAUCAUUUAAAGAAAGCGUAAUAGCUCACUGGUCGAGUCGGCCUGCGCGGAAGAUGUAACGGGGCUAAACCAUGCACCGAAGCUGCGGCAGCGACGCUUAUGCGUUGUUGGGUAGGGGAGCGUUCUGUAAGCCUGUGAAGGUGUGCUGUGAGGUAUGCUGGAGGUAUCAGAAGUGCGAAUGCUGACAUAAGUAACGAUAAAGCGGGUGAAAAGCCCGCUCGCCGGAAGACCAAGGGUUCCUGUCCAACGUUAAUCGGGGCAGGGUGAGUCGACCCCUAAGGCGAGGCCGAAAGGCGUAGUCGAUGGGAAACAGGUUAAUAUUCCUGUACUUGGUGUUACUGCGAAGGGGGGACGGAGAAGGCUAUGUUGGCCGGGCGACGGUUGUCCCGGUUUAAGCGUGUAGGCUGGUUUUCCAGGCAAAUCCGGAAAAUCAAGGCCGAG